rnacentral:lncRNA from 1 species
ACCGUCAAAAAACACACAGCUACUUAUGUCAGUGACUCUUCUUCUAUCACCACUAGACGACACCAGAAACACACAAAACACACUCUCUCAUAACUCGCGUCACAUUCAUCCUUCUACUCUAAUUGGCACGUAUCGUCCACGCUCCCUUACCGGCAACGCGCUUAUCGUCUGGCACACUCACCCGCACCGUACCCGUCGUCGGUCUUUUCGCCAAUUUAAUCGUAUUUUUCCGUG